rnacentral:rRNA from 1 species
AUGAUCUGCUGCCGGAGGUGUCAGGAGCCAGUGUCUCAUUCUGACCUGCCACAGGGUGAGGAGGAUGAUGAGACAGUCACGCUGUUUGGUUGGGCAGCACAACUGGUGGCCACGCAGAGGACAGAGCUGAUGCUGCACGGCGACGCUGACGUUGACACUGCUGAGGACAUGGAGAGGGUGGAGCGGUUCACGCGCGUGGCGCUCUGGUGCGUCGAGCCAAACCCGCUGCUGCGGCCAACCACGCACCAGGUGGUGCAGAAUCUAGAGACCAAUGAUCCGGCUCAGCUUCAGGCACUGCCACACCAACCUCCAGACUGUUAUAUGGAAUCCUCACCUUUAAUUCCUCAGCUCAAGAUGGCAUGUUAG